UUGCAGAAUUCAGUUAAUCAUCGAAUCUUUBAACGCACCUUGCACCCCUUGGUAUUCCGAGGGGUACGCCUGUUUUAGUGUCGUBAAAUCCUCAACCCUCCUCCUCUU
rnacentral:rRNA from 1 species